AUUGAACGCUGGCGGCAUGCUUUACACAUGCAAGUCGAACGGUAACAGGCCGCAAGGUGCUGACGAGUGGCGAACGGGUGAGUAAUGCAUCGGAACGUGCCCAGUCGUGGGGGAUAACGCAGCGAAAGCUGCGCUAAUACCGCAUACGAUCUAUGGAUGAAAGCGGGGGACCGUAAGGCCUCGCGCGAUUGGAGCGGCCGAUGUCAGAUUAGGUAGUUGGUGGGGUAAAGGCUCACCAAGCCAACGAUCUGUAGCUGGUCUGAGAGGACGACCAGCCACACUGGGGCUGGGACACGGCCCGGACUCCUACGGGAGGCAGCAGAGGGGAAUUUUGGACAAUGGGCGCAAGCCUGAUCCAGCAAUGCCGCGUGCAGGAAGAAGGCCUUCGGGUUGUAAACUGCUUUUGUACGGAACGAAACGGUCCUGGUUAAUACCUGGGGCUAAUGACGGUACCGUAAGAAUAAGCACCGGCUAACUACGUGCCAGCCGCCGCCGUAA
rnacentral:rRNA from 1 species